GAACAGAUUUGGAAUGAAAAAGAGAAAUGCCUCCCAGAAAGCGUAGGAAGUGUACUUCGGUCACUGUGAAAAAUCAUGCUGAAAAAGCUCAUGCUACAUCAGCAACCCCUGCUGCUUGUUGAGAAAGCGACACUGCUUCCCCACUGCCACAGGCAUGCCCUCCUUCCUCCAGCACAGUCGCUGUGUCACUUCAGCAUCCACCUGUAUCACUGGCUGUGCCUCGCCCAGCUGUAAUACCCGAAAGCAUGGAUACACCACAAGUAUUUGCUGAAGUCGAGAGCCUUCUCCCUCUUUCUUUCAACAAGAGAAAGAAAAGGAGAAGCCUGCGGUUUAGGGGUGGGCAUCGGCAAGCUGGCAGUGAGGAUGAUUCCUUUUGACAGGAUUGCAGUUUUGGAGGGCUCGAUCACAACCAAAGAUGUUGCCAUUGGAAAGCUUCAUGAAUUUAAACAGAUUCUGACUGCAUCCUCCAUCACGUCGGACAAUCCAUCUGUGUACCGCCUUUAAAAAACAAAAAACUAAACGUUGAUAAUUAUCACUGUCUAAGUCUGUGUUAGAAAGUACUAUAGCACAUGGUCUGUUUUUUGUUUGCUUUCAAAAUUGUAACUAUUGUACACUGAUUUUUUAAAACUUAUUGUAUAUUAGUUUUUUAAUUAGUUUUGAAUUUGCUAUGUAUCAU